rnacentral:rRNA from 1 species
AUUGAACGCUGGCGGCAUGCCUUACACAUGCAAGUCGAACGGUAGCACGGGGCAACCUGGUGGCGAGUGGCGAACGGGUGAGUAAUGCAUCGGAACGUACCUUUCAGUGGGGGAUAACGUAGCGAAAGUUACGCUAAUACCGCAUAUUCUGUGAGCAGGAAAGCAGGGGAUCGCAAGACCUUGCGCUGAUUGAGCGGCCGAUGUCAGAUUAGCUAGUUGGGGAGGUAAAGGCUCACCAAGGCGACGAUCUGUAGCGGGUCUGAGAGGAUGAUCCGCCACACUGGAACUGAGACACGGUCCAGAAUCCUACGGGAGGCAGCAGUGGGGAAUUUUGGACAAUGGGGGCAACCCGGAUCCAGCCAUGCCGCGUGAGGGAAGAAGGCCUUCGGGUUGUAAAGCUCUUUCGGCCGGGAAGAAAUCGCACGGGCUAAUACCCUGUGUGGAUGACGGUACCGGAAUAAGAAGCACCGGCUAACUACGUGCCAGCCGCCGCCGUAACAC